UACAGAGGUCUCAAGCGUUGUUCGGAUUCAUUGGGCGUAAAGGGUGCGUAGGUGGCGCCGUAAGUCAGGUGGUGAAAUCUCGGGGCUCAACCCCGAAACUGCACUUGAUACUGCGGUGCGUCGAGUACUGGAGAGGAGAUUGGAAAUUUACGGUGUAGCAGUGAAAUGCGUAGAUAUCGUAAGGAAGACCAGUGGCGAAGGCGAAUCGUCUGGACAGUUAACUGACACUGGAGGCAACGAAGGCCAGGGGAGCAAAACGGG
rnacentral:rRNA from 1 species